rnacentral:rRNA from 1 species
GAUGAACGCUGGCGGCGUGCCUAACACAUGCAAGUCGAACGAACCUUGGGGAACAGAUUACUUCGGUUUGAAGUUCCCCGCUGGUUAGUGGCGGACGGGUGAGUAACGCGUGGGCAACCUGCCUCAUAGAGGGGAAUAGCCUUCCGAAAGGGAGAUUAAUACCGCAUAAGAUUGUAGUACCGCAUGGUACAGCAAUUAAAGGAGCAAUCCGCUAUGAGAUGGGCCCGCGGCGCAUUAGCUAGUUGGUGAGGUAACGGCUCACCAAGGCGACGAUGCGUAGCCGACCUGAGAGGGUGAUCGGCCACAUUGGGACUGAGACAGGCCCAGACUCCUACGGGAGGCAGCAGUGGGAAUCUCACAAUGGGUGAAAACCUGAUGAGCAAUGCCGCGUGAAAUGAAGAAGGUCUUCGGAUCGUAAAAGUUCU